rnacentral:misc_RNA from 1 species
GUGAAUCAUCGAAUCUUUGAACGCAAAUUGCGCUUCCUGGCAUCCCGGGGAGUAUGCCUGUUUGAGUGUCAGUAUUAAUAAAAAAGCGUUUGGGUUACAAAUUGUGACGUUUCCGGAGUUUAGGCUAUCUUAAAAUUUUUGUUUAAGAAGCUUAAGAGUGACCUUUUUUACGCAGUUUUAAACGUACAUUAAUUUUUUUUAUUCGUCUAUUCUUAAUGCCAAAAUCUUAUUAGAUUCGAUCACA